UACGGGGGGGAGCAAGCGUUGUUCGGAUUUACUGGGCGUAAAGGGCGCGUAGGCGGUCAGCACAAGUCAGUUGUGAAAUCUCCGGGCUUAACUCGGAAAGGUCAACUGAUACUGUGCGACUAGAGUGCAGAAGGGGCAACUGGAAUUCUCGGUGUAGCGGUGAAAUGCGUAGAUAUCGAGAGGAACACCUGCGGCGAAGGCGGGUUGCUGGCUGACACUGACGCUGAUGCGCGAAAGCCAGGGAGCGAAGCGGG
rnacentral:rRNA from 1 species